AUACGGAGGGUGCAAGCGUUAUCCGGAUUUAUUGGGUUUAAAGGGUACGUAGGUGGCCCUGUAAGUCAGUGGUGAAAUCCUGCCGCUUAACGGUAGAAUUGCCAUUGAUACUGCGGGGCUUGAGUACAGUUGAGGCAGGCGGAAUGUGCAGUGUAGCGGUGAAAUGCUUAGAUAUUCGGAGGAACACCAGUGGCGAAGGCGGCUUACUGGUCCAUUACUGACGCUGAGGUGCGAAAGCGUGGGGAGC
rnacentral:rRNA from 1 species